GAUGGGAAAGGNNUGGNAAUACUCUAUANNNCUUCUAAGCAUNANGNUNNNNUGGGAAAGUUAAUAAAAUANNNNUUUUUGGUNNNNNCUUGAANNNNANNGNNNUAUAACAACUAAAUUGAUACGCCGAUGUGGCAAACAUCGGUGUGCUUUAGGUGGGUCAAGGGAGCGCUUGCGCUUCUUGUCGCAAAGAAAGGCUUUGCCUUUCUGCGAAGUCCGUAUUUGUCAAGAUGAAAUCUUGCAAAUGUAUUUUUUCGGUGUAGGAUGAGGCUAUAUCGUAUCAGCUAGUUGGUAGGGUAACGGCCUACCAAGGCUAUGACGCGUAACUGGUCUGAGAGGAUGAUCAGUCACACUGGAACUGAGACACGGUCCAGACUCCUACGGGAGGCAGCAGUAGGGAAUAUUGCUCAAUGGGGGAAACCCUGAAGCAGCAACGCCGCGUGGAGGAUGACACUUUUCGGAGCGUAAACUCCUUUUCUUGGGAAAGAAUUAUGACGGUACCCAAGGAAUAAGCACCGGCUAACUCCGUGCCAGCAGCCGCGGUAAUACGGAGGGUGCAAGCGUUACUCGGAAUCACUGGGCGUAAAGGACGCGUAGGCGGAUUAUCAAGUCUCUUGUGAAAUCUAACGGCUUAACCGUUAAACUGCUUGGGAAACUGAUAAUCUAGAGUAAGGGAGAGGCAGAUGGAAUUCUUGGUGUAGGGGUAAAAUCCGUAGAGAUCAAGAAGAAUACCCAUUGCGAAAGCGAUCUGCUGGAACUUAACUGACGCUAAUGCGUGAAAGCGUGGGGAGCAAACAGG
rnacentral:rRNA from 1 species